CACACAUGAUGGAGGAACUACAAAGCAAAAUGGCUGAGCAAACAAAACGGAUGGAACAAUUGUUUGAAGUAAGAUGCGUAGAGAUGGCACUCCAAAAAAUGGGAGAGAUGUUUAAACAAUGCGGAAUAUCAGUGGAUACACAAGAAGAUGUCAUGCAAACGAUGUCUCAGUUUGCUCGUGACAAGUCUCAAAGGCCAUCGACUGUUGCUUUUUCACCAGAUGAUGAUGUCUACCGUCCUACAAUGCCAUUUGAUUGCCCCAAUAUGCAAAUUGAUUAAUCAAGAAUCAUGUCUCUAUCAGCCAUUAUGCAACAAGAACGGGAGCUAAUCUUGUGGAGAUGGUGGUCAUUGUUUCAAGACUAUUAGAUUUCAAUUCAAUGUCAUGUUAGGAUUUGAAUUUAGUACUAGAUUAGGAUUUGAAUUCGGCAUUUAUUUCAAAUUAUGUAGACCUUAUAAAUAACAAAACUAUUUAUGUACUUCUGGUAAAAUUUAAAUGUUAGUGGAUUUGAUUUUAAAUAUGAAUAUUUCAUUGAGGUUCUUCUU